ACUUCUAUUGUUGCAAAGUGAAGCCGGAGGAAAUGUUAGAACGUGAACAGACCAAACCAGGAUGGAAUGGAGCCAACACGAAGACAAUAUAACAGUCUGUAAACCUUUUUUGUUUGUUUGUUUAUUUCCUUGUUUUUGGCAAAUAAGAAAUUGCUGAGAGUUGUCAGGUAUUUGUUCAGUAUGAUCUUUUACACUUUCUUUUAAAGUGGACUUAAUGAAAUUAAUAUAUGCUUUGGUGGGAUUGAAAAUCAUUGUGAUGUUUUGUUGCUAUUGCAAUGUAAAAUCAGAGAUAUUCAGUGAUGUAGUUGAAAAGGAUGUUUUUCAGAAACGGAUGGAUCAGAGAGUAUCAUGGGGCAGGACUCAGUCAGUCGUAUGUCUGGAAUUCCGCUAGUUCUGAACUAUUCGUGAUUGGCAAAAGUUCACUACUAGCAGAACUCAGAUAUACAACUGAAUUCUCAACGAAAGCUCAAGAUUAGCAGUUUGGUCUCAUAUGGCCUGCCAUUGGACAGCUGCUAUAUUCACGUUAUCUACUUAUUGGAUGAAGUACAUGAAGUUAAGACCAUCCUUGGAGUGUUUACUCCAUUAAUUAUAACUGAAGGACUACGGACUUAAUUACAACCAGACAUAUGAGAUACUUCUCCGUUUUUAUGUUUUAGUUGUGGUCAAAUGGUGUG